UCGGGAAUUUUGGACAAUGGGCGCAAGCCUGAUCCAGCCAUGCCGCGUGCGGGAAGAAGGCCUUCGGGUUGUAAACCGCUUUUGUCAGGGAAGAAACGCUCUGGGCUAAUACCCUGGGGUAAUGACGGUACCUGAAGAAUAAGCACCGGCUAACUACGUGCCAGCAGCCGCGGUAAUACGUAGGGUGCAAGCGUUAAUCGGAAUUACUGGGCGUAAAGCGUGCGCAGGCGGUUAUGCAAGACAGAUGUGAAAUCCCCGGGCUCAACCUGGGAACUGCAUUUGUGACUGUAUAGCUAGAGUACGGUAGAGGGGGAUGGAAUUCCGCGUGUAGCAGUGAAAUGCGUAGAUAUGCGGAGGAACACCGAUGGCAAAGGCAAUCCCCUGGACCUGUACUGACGCUCAUGCACGAAAGCGUGGGGAGCAAACAGGAUUAGAUACCCCCGUAGUCCCUGAGCGGGCUGGCAAGGCGCAU
rnacentral:rRNA from 1 species